GUAGGACUAGAGUAAGGGUAAUUGUUGCUUCUGGUGGUUUGGUGGUUAUGUCCUCUGAGGUCUGUGUAAUGGAGAGACACAUGAAGAAAUGAACUCCUCCAUAGUACCCUCCCUUAAUUUUUCUGCAACAGCUGCUGAACAGUGUGGUGUAUGUCAAAGUGAAGAACUACCCAGACACAGUUAAGAGAUGUCUGACUGAGAUCAUGCAGCUGAUGAAUGCUUAUUUCAGUGCCAUCCAUCGCCAACGAGGAAAAGGGGAAGAUGCAGACAUCACCAUAGCAGACAGCACAGAGAAACCAAAGGAUUUUGGAGUCCUUUCUUCAGUGUCUCUACCAAAUGCUCUGAUUCGUCCUUCGUUGUGCUGCUUGUCUUGACUUUAAUCCUUGAACUGAAAUUUGGUUAACACUUGACUGAUUAGGCCUUGACAAGUCAUUGCAGUCUGCCCUGUAUCCUGCUCAGAAGCAGGUCUUUGCUUUUUCUACUGCAGCUGCAGGCAGCUCCAAGCUGUAUGAAAAGGAAAGAAGAAAAAUCAAACUACACGUUUUUUCUUUGUAUUACGCUUGUUUGUAUGUUGCAUGGUACCUUUCUAUUUGUGUAUAGUUAAUUGCACUAUUGUUUGUUUUGAAACUAACUUGAGAGUGCAAUAAAAAAACUAUAAAUACUGUAUGUAAUUAAUAAAAUUUUUACCAUAUUGUC
ensembl:lncRNA